AUUCUGCCCAUGCGGGGAAGGAUGAGAAGCUUCGACCAAGGUUCGACUCGAGCGCCAGCGAGAGAGCGUUGCCGCAGGCAACGACCCGU
rnacentral:sRNA from 1 species